UUCUGGCCCACUCCCCCUGUCUUCCCCUUUUCUCUCCCCUCUUUUCCUCUCAUUUGCAGCUAGUCCGUAAGGGAUAACUACCAUAGGAUGAGGGACAAAUGAUGUCUCAGCUACGUCCUCUCAACAUCUCUUGGCUUGGUAGUUCAUCACUACUCAGUUUGGUAGGUUGGAGGCAUUCCAGCUCCCGAGGACUAGUCGUGGACUUAGCAAUCUCCUUCCACCCCUUUCUUUCCCGGCCCUGAAGCAUGUACCCACUCAGCUUUGACAGCCGAAUUCUUUCCAACUCCUGACAACUACUCGAGGACCCAGAAUCCUCCUGCAUCUUACUUUCUUUAGUCCCUAACCCCCUUCUUAAUAGGUAUCUUCUUUUUUGUAUUCCAUCUUACCCUUUAAGCCUCCCUUCUCCCUUCUCCUUAUGUACUUGGUGCACCAGUUUAUAGGGUCACACCUUUUUCUCCUCUUUUUUUGAGUUCUUUCAGUUAUUUACUCUCUCUUCUUCUCCCCCUUUACUCUGAGCAACCAUCUUGUGGGUAUCGAUUGGCCACAUCUUGUGGAUCUUGUGGGUAUCGAUUGGCCACAUCUUGUGGGUACCGAUUGGCCACAUAGGAAAAGUCAGAAAGGAUUGAACCAAUGUCGGGUUCCCACUUCUAGACAUGGACAUGAUCGGCCAAGUUGGGAAAGAGAUACUCAGAACCAUGUCAGGUUCAUCCAGCAUCACUGGGUUGAGCUGACCCACUAAGCACCCUUGCAAGCCACCCGCCACACACUUAUAAGCCACUCACUACUGAUGGCCUUG
rnacentral:lncRNA from 1 species